rnacentral:rRNA from 1 species
UACGUAGGGGGCUAGCGGUGUCCGGAUUUAUUGGGCGUAAAGAGCGUGUAGGCGGCCAGGUAGGUCUGCUGUGAAAACUCGAGGCUCAACCUCGAGACGUCGGCGGAAACCAUCUGGCUAGAGUCCGGAAGAGGAGAGUGGAAUUCCUGGUGUAGCGGUGAAAUGCGCAGAUAUCAGGAAGAACACCCGUGGCGAAGGCGGCUCUCUGGGACGGUACUGACGCUGAGACGCGAAAGCGUGGGGAGCGAACAGG